UAUAGUUAUAAAUUAUGGAUAAAUCUAGGUUUACAAUUUGUUGAAUCAGCUUGUUCAUGUUAAAAAUGAAAAUUAAUGUGUUAGAUUUAAUUGAAGCUGUAAGAGGAUCUAAUAUGAUAAAUUUGAUGAAAGUUACAAGGAUUCACGCAAAAAAUCAGAAUUUUGGAUAAAUUUAGGCCUACAAUUUGGUGAAUCAGGUGAUGAGUUAAAGACUAGAUGGGACCACCAUAUAUAUCUGUAUGACCAUAUUAUGAAGCAUUAUCUUUUUUAAACAAAACAUUAACACCUAGAACACAAAUAUCCAACAUAACCAUAUCAAAUUCCACUCCGCUGUAUGAUAUCACCACAGAUGAAAAUAUAUAUGUAGAAAAAGUUUCAAAAUCGAAUAAAAAAGGCUUUAUAAUUAUAUCACAUUAUGUACCAUUAUGAAUUUUAUUUUUGCUUAAUAAUUAUAUUUUUUUAAGUACCAUUAUGAAUUU